CUACGGGAUGCAGCAGUGAGGAAUUUUGCGCAAUGGGGGAAACCCUGACGCAGCAACGCCGCGUGAGUGAUGAAGGCCCUCGGGUCGUAAAGCUCUGUCAAGUGGGAAGAACCUACUUAUGGGUAAUAUUCAUGGGUACUGACGGUACCACUGAAGGAAGCACCGGCUAACUCCGUGCCAGCAGCCGCGGUAAUACGGGGGGUGCAAGCGUUAUUCGGAAUUAUUGGGCGUAAAGGGCGCGUAGGCGGUCCUGUUAGUCAGAUGUGAAAGCCCGGGGCUCAACCCGGGAAGUGCAUUUGAAACGGGAGGACUUGAGUAUGGGAGAGGGAAGUGGAAUUCCUGGUGUAGAGGUGAAAUUCGUAGAUAUCAGGAGGAACAUCUGUGGCGAAGGCGACUUCCUGGACCAAUACUGACGCUAAUGCGCGAAGGCGUGGGUAGCAAACAGGAUUAGAUACCCCCGUAGUC
rnacentral:rRNA from 1 species